UCAAGCAGAAAGGGCACAGGGCGGAUGCCUUGGCACUAAGGGCCGAAGAAAGACGUGAUAAGCUGCGAUAAGCUUCGGGGAGGAGCAAAUAUCCAUUGAUCCGGAGAUCUCUGAAUGGGGAAACCCACAUGAGCAAACCUCAUGUAUCCAUACGCCAAUCCAUAACGUAUGGAGGGGAACCCGGGGAACUGAAACAUCUAAGUACCCGGAGGAAAAGAAAGAAAACUCGAUUCCGUAAGUAGCGGCGAGCGAACGCGGAAGAGCCUAAACCGGUGUGCGUGCACACCGGGGUUACGGACUGCAUUUAAGAUUCUGCAAUGUUAGUGGAACGGUUUUGGGAAAGCCGGCCGGAGAGGGUGAAAGCCCCGUAGACGAAAACAGAGCAGACUGAGCAGGAUCCAGAGUACCGCGGGACACGAGAAACCCUGCGGGAAGUGAGGGGGACCACCCCCUAAGGCUAAAUACCACUUAGUGACCGAUAGCGCAUAGUACUGUGAAGGAAAGGUGAAAAGGACCCCGGGAGGGGAGUGAAAGAGAACCUGAAACCCUGUGUCUACAAGCUGUGGGAGUGCUUUAUAUGCACGACCGCGUACUUUUUGUAGAACGGUCCGGCGAGUUGCGCUCACUGGCAAGGUUAAGCACCGAAGGUGCGGAGCCGUAGGGAAACCAAGUCUUAAGAGGGCCAGAGUCAGUGGGGGCAGACCCGAAACCGGGUGAUCUAUCCAUGUCCAGGUUGAAGCUGCCGUAAGAGGCAGUGGAGGACCGAACCCACAUCCGUUGAAAAGGGUGGGGAUGAGGUGUGGAUAGGGGAGAAAUUCCAAUCGAACCCGGAGAUAGCUGGUUCUCCUCGAAAUAGCUUUAGGGCUAGCCUUGGUAGAGAUUUGCGGAGGUAGAGCACUGAAUUUCCUAGGGGGCGUCAAAGCCUACCGAAGAAUAUCAAACUCCGAAUGCCGUGUAAUUGCUUACCAGGAGUCAGACUGCACGAGAUAAGUUGGGCAGUCAAAAGGGAAAGAGCCCAGACCUUCAGUUAAGGUCCCAAAGUGUGCGUUAAGUGGAAAAGGAUGUGGGAUUUCGAAGACAACCAGGAUGUUGGCUCAGAAGCAGCCAUUCAUUCAAAGAGUGCGUAAUAGCUCACUGGUCGAGAGGUCCUGCGCCGAAAAUGUCCGGGGCUGAAACGCACCACCGAAACUAAGGGAUCCGAAAGGAUCGGUAGAGGAGCAUUGCAUGUGGGACGAAGCAGUACCGUAAGGAGCUGUGGACUGCAUGGAAGAGAGAAUGCCGGAAUGAGUAGCGAGAUAGAGGUGAGAAUCCUCUAGGCCGAAUAUCCAAGGUUUCCAGGGUAAAGCUGAUCUGCCCUGGGUAAGUCGGGGCCUAAGGUGAGGACGAGAGUCGUAGCCGAUGGACAACAGGUGGAGAUUCCUGUACUAUGAUAUGACAGAACUGUGGGGACACGUGCAGAGAGCGGAAGCCGGGAAUGGGAUCCCGGUGCAAGCGAGGUACCAGCCGCAUUGGAAAAACCGUGCGGCAAUGGGAAGACGUGAUGCGGAGUGAAGUUUAGUAAUGAAGUCCGUGAGCUGUGCGUCAAGAAAAGCCGCUAUUGUUCAUACCAUACCCGUACCGUAAACCGACACAGGUGGAUGAGGAGAGAAUCCUAAGGCCGGCGGAAGAAGCAUUGUCAAGGAACUCGGCAAAAUGACCCCGUAACUUCGGGAGAAGGGGUGCCUGCGAGAGCAGGCCGCAGAGAAUAGGCUCAAGCAACUGUUUAGCAAAAACACAGGUCUAUGCGAAACCGAAAGGUGAGGUAUAUGGGCUGACGCCUGCCCGGUGCUGGAAGGUUAAGAGGAGAGGUUAGCGCAAGCGAAGCUUUGAAUUUAAGCCCCAGUAAACGGCGGCCGUAACUAUAACGGUCCUAAGGUAGCGAAAUUCCUUGUCGGGUAAGUUCCGACCCGCACGAAAGGCGUAAUGAUUUGAGCGCUGUCUCGACAAUGCAUCCGGUGAAAUUGAAGUACCAGUGAAGAUGCUGGUUACCU
rnacentral:rRNA from 1 species